rnacentral:tRNA from 1 species
GUAGAUUUCAAUGGUUAUAUAAAAGGCAUAAAUCCAUAUAAAGGCGAAAAAAGGCCUCUUCCCUACUUUGGUAAGGAAGAGGUCGGCGGUUCAAUUCCGCUCAUCAGCUCCA